rnacentral:rRNA from 1 species
UACGUAGGGUGCAAGCGUUAAUCGGAAUUACUGGGCGUAAAGCGUGCGCAGGCGGUUUUAUAAGUUUGUCGUGAAAGCCCCGGGCUCAACCUGGGAAUUGCGAUGAAGACUGUAAGGCUAGAGUGUGUCAGAGGGGGGUAGAAUUCACGUGUAGCAGUGAAAUGCGUAGAUAUGAUGGAGGAACACCGGAUGGCGAAGGCAGCCCCCUGGGAUAACACUGACGCUCGAUGCACGGAAAGCGUGGGGAGCAAACAGG